UAGCAUGGAAGAUAUUGAAAACUAUUUUGUGACGAUGACAUGAAAGGUUGUGAUGCCCUCAAUUUGAUCGUAUGCUAAUCAUACAAGAAAACGCGUACGACUAAUCUCAAGGACUCACUGGAAGAUAUCACAACACAACUCCAAACACAAAUAAAACAUACAAGCUUCAUAUUACAAGCCAGGGGCCUCGAGGGCUAGAAUACAGAAGGUCGAUAAACACAGAGUCAGUGGAAGCAACAAUUAUGUGAGUACAUACAUAAAACAAAGAUAAUGCCUUAGAGAAGGAUAGCACAAAAGAUACAUCGAUCGAACGAGGCGAGGCCUCCUGCAUGGGAACCUCCUAAUUGACUCCUGGUUGCCAGCGGCCUCCACGUAGUAGUAGGCACCAUCGGGGCAGCAGUCUUCGUCGUCGGGAUACGCCAUCUCCUGGGCUCCGUCAUCUGGUCCCAACAAUCGUAUCAAGGGGAAAAGGGGAGCAAAGCAAAGAUGACUACUCAUCCAAAGUACUCGCAAGACUGACAUCACAUCUAUGCUAAGUAUGCAUCAGUAUCAAAUGAAUGGGGUUAUAUGUGGACUAACUGCAACAAUGCAAGAAUAGAGAAAGGGAACUAGUCCUAUGAAAGACUAGGAUCUUCAGCUUCUUGCAGCAAUAGACGAGAGUACAUCAAGUAAUACAAUUAAAUAGUCAUAUUGUUGCAUCAAUAUUAAUUAAGGUCAUGCCCGGAGAUUCUUCCUCAACUCCCUGCGAGAAAGCAAUCCCGGAGCAAACAUUCCAGUUAUGUAACACUUGAAGUUGUAUAAAAUCGGGGCAAAAAUCCAAGUCCUCCUGUAACCAUGGACUCAAAUAAUUAAUUUUCAUCCGUGCACGGGUGCACCACAUUACCCAACACUCUUGAUAAACUCCGACCAAACAAACUUUCCCGGGACAUGCCUGGCCUCGGAACAUCAACACGUCGCAGCCCUACCUAGGCUCAACAAAGAGGCCAGCCCACCGGUGUAAAUCCUAAGCGUGUAGGGGUCAUGGGCCCAUCACACUUUGCACUGCUUCAUGAUGUGUGGCCAGCCAAUGUCAGUCCUGUCACCUCUUAUACAAGAAUGAUGCUUAUCCGGGCCACUCGGGCGCGCGCCGCUCCAUUGCUGACGUGUGAAGAGCUUCGGCUGAUACCACGACAUCGAGUACCCAUAACUUUUCCCACGUGAAGGUUAGUGCGAAAAGGUCUCCCGACCAACUCAGAUCAAAUACACAAAUCCAUUAGGAUUUCAAUUAAUCUCGAGGAUGGUUGGCAAGGACCAGAAUGACUGGCCACGCCUCGUCACAUUCACGCGGGAGUCUACACGCAACACACCUUUCAUGUUCCCAGUUGCACGGUUAAGUAACUAUGUGGUUGUAGGAUUAGAGGGAUCCGAGGUAUUACCCUUGAUGGAUUCCAAAUGAUGUAACCGUCAAGUUGGCGAGAGAGGAAUCACCCUCCAUGGACCACACUUGAUGGGUUGUACGACAGAGUCUAGAUCGGAGGUGGUGGAGGAAUCACGCUCCGAGGACCACCAUUGGUCAUCUACACUAUAGAGCUCACAUCAGGAGUACAUAUUGAGGUGUCACCCUCGGUACUCGAUAGUAGCUCUGCAACGUCGUACAACUAAGGGGGUGUGAGUGAUGUGACGGGUCUUGGCUCGUCGAUGAGAUGAUCGAGACUUGAUGAAAAAGCAGGGGCAACUAGAGUAAGGGGGUAAGUGGGGAUCACUGCUCCACCUAUAUUAAACAAUUUAGAAUGCGGUAGAGUAAAGUAGCAGUCAUCAAAAACUGGCUAUGCAUCAAAAUAGGAACUAUCUACAAGAGUAACAAAAUAUAAUGCAAUCAUGAGGGAGAAAGAAUAGGCGACAUAGGAAUGAUCAAGGUGGGUUUGCUUGCCUGGUAGUUCUGCACACAAAAACGGAUCAUUGACCGGGAAGUAGUCGAUCACCGGAUCAUCAUCGGUCUCGGGGUCUACCGGAAAGGAAGCAAUGUAGGGGAAACACAAUAAAUAACAAAGAAAUCAAAUGCAUCAUGAAGCAUGAGAUAGCUAUAUGCAACACUAGGCAUGAGCUAACACGGUACUAAACGUUACAGACGAAGCGGGGAAAUAUCUCACGAUAUUUUCCGGGUCUUUGGCUAUUACCGAGCAGAUGAUCAUAAUUCAAAAUUUCCAUGUUCAUCAUUCUAGAGGAAUGUUACUGAUGAACGCACAACGUAUUCGGAUUCAUUGGAUUUUUCUGAGCAACUUUCAUAUAUACAUUAUUUUCAUGUGACUUAUGAUUUAUUUUAUAUUAACUUUUUAAGUUUUAAUAAUAUUCUGAAAUUUUAUUAAUUAAAAAAUGUUAAAUAGAUAAAUUGCUAUGGGUACACAUAGGUGUACUAGGCAAUAUGCUUAUUUGGCUUACAGUGGGGUCCAAUUGACCAGCCAAAGCUGACUGGUCAAGAGGGGGUGUGGGGCCCCUUGUCAUACACUUAUCUAAACUUAAUUAGGUUAACUAAUCCACUAAUUAAUUAAUUUUAUAUAACUUAAAAAAAAUCUUUUAAAGGGGGGCCCACCUAUCAUGAGGGGGAUUAGUGUAAGAGAGGGGGAUUAGCCCCCUUACUAAUAAAAUAGGGCCGAACACUGCGGUUGGGCUCGCAUGGCGCCCGGGGCGCUAGCGGCCAUGGCCAGGGGGCACGCGGCCGGUGGGGGGAGCGGCGGCGGUAGGUGGCGGUGGCGGCCGAGCGGAGGCGAGCUCGGGAGUGGGAGAGGGCCGCGACGGCUGGCCAUUGUGCGGUCAUGCGUAGGGCGGGCACAAGCGCAGCAAAAGGAGAAGUAGACGCGACGCCGGCGGGGUGGCUGCACGCACGCGACGAGGGAACUCGGGGCGGCGUCGGCGUGGUAGCUGCGGUGGCUGCAGGGCCGAAUCCAGCAGCAGCAGCACGCUGGGGGGCACAACAGUAGGUCGGGAUAGCUGGGGCGCGGUCAGCGCACGUGCAACAGCAGCAAAAGAAGCAGCUGCAGCAAGCAGCAAGAGCACCAGCAGUAGAGAGCAUCGGCAACAGGAGCAGGGAGCUGGAGGGCGCGAAUGCGGGCGGCGUGGGCGCGACCAAGAGGCAGCCACUAGCCAGGGCGUGCCCCGAGCGCACUACGGGCUCGCGGGUGAGAGCAGGCAGGCACGGGCGCGCACGCACGCACGUACAUCGGGGACGGCAGCUACGGUGUGAAAAUGAAGGGGGAAAUACGAGGAACAGGUAGAGGAGGUCACCGGGAUAUCGUAGGCGAGCUUUGGAAGGCCGGGGGUGAACCGGAGCAGUGACAAACAACGACGAAUGCCGGCGAUGUAUGCGACGAACACGAGCUCGAUGGCGAGCGUAAAUGGCCUCCUCGCUGGAGCCCUUUCGCGUGGGGACGAAGUCGACAAUGACCGAAUGACGAAGGUCCUGAACAUGGUCUCAGUCGAUGGGGAGAUCGUUGGUUGCGAGGACAGCGAUGGCCAUGGCGGCUUCAGCCAUGGGUGUGCUUUAGAUCGAGGGAGAGAGACUAGGAGGAAGG
rnacentral:lncRNA from 1 species